GACGAGGGAUCCUAGCGUUGCUCGGAAUCAUUGGGCGUAAAGCGGGUGUAGGUGGCUUGGUAAGUCGGGUGUGAAAGCCCAGGGCUCAACCCUGGAAGUGCAUUCGAUACUGCUGAGCUUGAGUGCGAGAGAGGUUAAUAGAAUACCUGGUGUAGUGGUGAAAUACGUAGAUAUCUGGAGGAACACCGGUGGCGAAGGCGGCAUCCUGGACCAACACUGACGCUGAGUGAGCGAAAGCCAGGGAGCAAAGCGGG
rnacentral:rRNA from 1 species